GUCAGUUGCAAAAUGUAUUUUCUUCAUAGCCAGGCAUUCACAUGAAUGAAGAUUAGAAUUGCGUCAUGUUAUAUAGUCUUAAAUAUUUAGGAGGGGUCUCUAUUAUUAAAUUAAGAGAUUAAAAAGGGGUCCCAUGACAUUUUGACAUAAGAAUCUCCCACCCCACCCUAGGGUAUAAUGAAUGGUCACUUAAAGUACAUGCCAUCUUCUAACUGGAUGGGCACCUUGCCCCUUUUGUGAUGGAAAAUCAAUUCCCUACCUUUAUCCCCUGGGAUAAAAUAUUCAAAUCAACUCUCCACCCUGAUGUGCAGCUGGUAACAGCAAGAAUUGAAGCAAGCAAGCUUUACUGGAG